CGGGCCCCCACGGAGACGGCGCGGCGCGGCUCUGCCCGGGGCGUGUAGACACGGCUUCAGCGAGUGAGGACAAGGAGGAAGAGACCCAAGAUGCCGACACGGAUCGACUUGGUUUAUUUACACAUUUUGACCUUUGUCACCUGUUAUUUUUCUAUCGUUUGUAGCCCUAGAACAAUAACCAGCAGCCCCGAGAGGACCUGAAACAUACGAAGAAACAGACAAAGCGAUUUAGGACGAGUCUGUUCUCCGGGAGAAUCCGACAAGCUACACCCGACCCGGGUUCCCGCGUUCACACCUGCCAUUCGUCGGGCGGCCGCUAGGGGUCAGCAGAGCGCCGCGUCUGGCCGAGCCGCUGUCUGCGCCUGCGCGGGCCGGGACGUCUGAUUCUUGUUUUUACACGCAGGCCAGCAAGGCUUUGGGAUGGCUCCUUCUCAUGACUUGUCAUCCUGCGUGUGUUAAUAAUUUCAGCAUAGCUGCUUCUUUAUUUUGUCACUUGCUUUCUCCCACGGGUAAGAAUAUCACAUGAGAAGCGGCUGACAGGACUGCUGGCGAAGUUUCUUUCCCCAGGUUCAUCCUCUGUCCGCUCAGACCUCAGCCCGAAUCACGUGGAGCAGGUGCAUGCCGUGGCUGCACCUCCAGAGCUCUGCUCUCAGAAAACAGGGUUUUAUAAAUCGAGAUUAUUUCCCCCAAAAUUUAACAUGAAUUUUAAUGGAAAAUUUUUCUCUGUGGCCUAAGUAUAAAACUGAUGAGGAAGAAAAUCAAAUAUAUGUAAUUGUCCCGGUAUCUAAUUCCAUUGCCUAUGAAACAUUCAUUCACUCAGAAAACAUGGACCAAGGGUCUACUUUGAGCAACAGGGAUUAAAAGAAAUCACAAUAGAUCUAGCACGAAUUGGAAAUCAGUUAAUAAAAAAAAAAUUAUCUUUUUUUGAAAAAACAGAUUUAUUGAGGUAUAAUCUACAUACCAUAACAUUCACCCAUUUGAAGUAUAAACCAUCACCACAAUACAGUUUUAGAACAUUUUUAUUACUCCCAAAAAGAUCCCCUAGGCCCAUUUGCACCCAACUGCUUUUUAAAUUAAGUUGUUGCAGGAAGAUGCACUUGCAGAGAAUUAUUUAAUACUUAAUUUGUUUAGUGGGAAAAACAAGUUUUUCUUCCCUUUGGGAAUGUGUCUGCAGGUUACCUACCCGAAUUUCGUCCCCAGCCUUUCAUCACAAACUGUCUGCCCUAACCAUCACAUUUCUCUCGGUGUCCCCGCAGCAUGAAGGGUCUUUGCUCACGCGUGUCCCUGGCCUCCCGCCCUCCUUGGUCGGUUCACUCACCCAGCUCUUUCCAUCCUUGAGGCCGCAGCGCAGACCAUGGAGCCCCGGACUACGCAGGUGCCGGCGCCCUGCUUCACAGCCGGAGACUUAUCCCAUUUGGGUUAAACACAUUUUGCGUGAUUUUAAUUCUUUUAAAUAUGGUAAGUUUUCUUCCCAUGAAGUGACCCAGGGUAUGCUCUCUCUUAUUGAGUGUUCCACGUUCACUGAGAAGAAUGUGAACUCUGUUUUUGUUGGGUGGAGCGUUCUACAAAUGUCAGUUCCAUCUAGUUGAUUGAUGGUUUUGUUCAGUUCUUCUAUAUCCUGCUGAUUUUCAGUCAACUUGAUCUAUCAAUUACUAAGAGAAGAGUUUUGACGUCUCCCACUUUAAUUGUGAAUUUAACAAUUUUCCUUUCAGUUGUAUCAUUUUUUUGCUUCAUCUGUUUUGAAGCUCUCUUGUUAGGAGCAUACACAUUAGGACUGUUAUAUCUUCUUGGUGAAUUGUCUAUUUUAUUAAAGUAAUUACUUUAUAAAUGAGGUCAAAACUGAAGACUUUUUGUUUUGUCCCUGGCAAACUCUUUUUGGCUAUAUCUCUCCAGUAGUUUCCUUCACCUGGUCUGGAAUUCCUGAGAAAGAGUUGACACACGUCGCCAGGGGGAAGGGCAUAGAGAAACAAGAAUUGUUCACAGCGUGUGGCUGCAGCACAUUCUUCCACUGGACUCCCAAAAUACUAAGCUUUUUAUAGGCAAGGACCCUCAAAGACCCUCAACUCCCCUAUGAC